rnacentral:rRNA from 1 species
UCUUCGGAGGCGUUACACAGGUGCUGCAUGGCCGUCGUCGGCUCGUGUCGUGAGAUGUUUGGUUAAGUCCAGCAACGAGCGCAACCCCUGUUGCCAGUUACCAGCACGUGAAGGUGGGGACUCUGGCGAGACUGCCCAGAUCAACUGGGAGGAAGGUGGGGACGACGUCAGGUCAGUAUGGCCCUUAUGCCCAGGGCUGCACACGUACUACAAUGGCUAUUACAAAGAGUUGCAAUACAGCAAUGUGGAGCGAAUCUCAAAAAGAUAGUCUCAGUUCGGACUGUGGGCUGCAGCCCGCCCACACGAAGUCGGAGUUGCUAGUAAUCCCGAAUCAGCAUGUCGGGGUGAAUGCGUUCCCGGGUCUUGUACACACCGCCCGUCAAGCCAUGGGAGUUGGGAGUACCCAAAGUCGGUGACCUAACCGUAAGGAAGGAGCCGCCUAAGGUAAUACCAAUGACUGGGGCUAAGUCGUAACAAGGUAGCCGUAUCGGAAGGUGCGGUUGGAUC